UAACUUUUAAUUUGCGCUAUUUUAACAUAUUAAUUUUUUUAAAGUCUUAUAUAUUUAAAUAAUGUAAAAUUAGUAAAAAAAUAGAAGACAAAACAGUUACGAAUAAACAUUAUUUAAAAUAUUAUUGUUUAUAUCGACAAAUAAGUAGUAAUAUAUCCCACGUGAAUUAUUUUACAAGUGCAACUAUAAUUCAAAUAUAUGUACAUAUAUAUUAUAUGUAUAUAUUUAAGUCCAUACAUAUAUAGUUGCUUUUUUCUCUUUUUAAAUAUAUACCUAAAAUACGACGACUAAAAUCAGAAAAUCUAUUUUACAUGCAUAACAUUUGCCAUGAUGAAACAAUCCAGUUGGAUCUUUCUAUAAUUUUUGAUUAUAUAAUUAUAUUUACGUAAAUGAAGUGUUUUUUUUUUUUUAAUUUUUAUUGUUAAUUAUUUUCAAUAGUUUCAACAUUUUCAACAAUCAUUUGUUAUUUAGAAAUACAAAACACAUCGUGAUAUAUGCAAAGGCUUAUAUAUAUAGAGAUAUAUUAAUUAAAAUCGGAUGGUAUGUAUAUGUUUGUAAACAAAACUAUAUCAGUACAAUAAUAUAACACAAAUAUACGUUAUUUUUCCAGAAGUAUAUUUUUAUGUGAAUACUACAAACUCCAUGUUGAUUCAAUUGCGGUACUCGUAAGAUAAAUGAACAAAUAAAUAAGUAGGCUAAAACAAAUAAACUAAAGCCAAAAAGAUAAAAUAAAAGCAAUAAUAAACCAUUUGAAAAAUAAAUGAGUAAUUGUAUAUAAAAAAGAAAAUAUAAUGGGAGAUUAUUUAAAAACAGGAUCAGUAAACUAUGACUUAGAAAUUUUAAAAAAGAAACCAGAAAAAAAGUUAACUCUAGAUAAACAAAAUUUAUACUUACAAGGAUAUGGUAGACAAUGGGGUGAAAAAUUAGUUUACAGUGUUGGUUUAGCAUAUGGGUCAGGAUUAUUGCUCGGUGGGAGUGUUGGUUUAGUUAAUGGAAUUAUGAAAGGAGGAAAAACAAAAAAGCUUUUUAUAAACUCAGUGUUAAAUUCUACUUCUGUUAUAGGACCUAAUGUUGCAAACCAAAUGGCAUCGUUAACUAUGAUUUUUUAUGCUUUUAACAAUAUUGUAAGAUUAUUUACAAAAAAUGAUGAAAUUUAUAAUUCAUCUAUGGCUGGUUUUAUAUCCGGUGCUAUAUACAAAAGUUCAUCAAGUUACAAAAUUAUGGGUGCUUAUUCUUUAAUGUCAUCGGCGGUUUUUUCUUUGAUAGAUUAUGGCUUUAAAAGGGGCUAUAUUUGACCCCGAUGUGGAUAUAAAUGUAUGCACAUAUAUAUAUGCACAAAUUUUUAAUAUAUGAUUAUUUAUUGA
rnacentral:lncRNA from 1 species